GAGACUGACGACACAUACGCGGCAUUAACACAUCUUCAAAAACGACUUCGAAAUAAUUCAAAAACAUUAUACACUUUUUUUUAUUAAUAAGUCUUAAAAUGGCAGUGACGAAUAAAAGUCACUGCAUUUGGAAAACUGCAGGUGGGGGUGUUUUUUAUUUUUUCUUUGCAGCUGUGAGUGACUUUCUAAUAUAAUGUUACAGGUAGUUGAACAACCGCGCAGCUGC